rnacentral:rRNA from 1 species
AGUGAACGCUGGCGGUAGGCCUAACACAUGCAAGUCGAACGGCAGCACAGUAAGAGCUUGCUCUUACGGGUGGCGAAUGGCGGACGGGUGAGGAAUACAUCGUAAUCUACUUUUUCGCGGGGGAUAACGUAGGGAAACUUACUCUAAUACCGCAUACGACCUACGGGUGAAAGCAGUGGAUCUUCGGACCCUGCGCGAGUGGAUGGGCCGAUGUGGGAUUAGCUUGUUGGCGGGGUAGAGGCCUACCAAGGCGCCGAUCGGUAGCUGGUCUGAGAGGGUGACCGGCCACAGUGGGACUGAGAUACGGGCCAGACUGCUACGGGAGGCAGCAGUGGGGAAUAUUGCACAAUGGGCGGAAGCCUGAUGCAGCAACGCCGCGUGCGGGAUGACGGCCUUCGGGUUGUAAACAGCUUUCGCCUGUGACGAAGCGUGAGUGACGGUAAUGGGUAAAGAAGCACCGGCUAACUACGUG